GGGUGUGAUCAUACCAGCACUAAUACACCGGAUCACAUCAGAACUCCACAGUUAAGCAUGCUUAGGCGAGAGUAAUACUAGGAUGGGUGACCCCUGGGAAGUCCCUGUGUUGCACCCC